rnacentral:rRNA from 1 species
UACGUAGGGGGCAAGCGUUGUCCGGAAUCAUUGGGCGUAAAGAGCGUGUAGGCGGUCCGGUCAGUCGGUUGUGAAAGUCAAGGGCUCAACCCUUGAAUGCCGGCCGAUACUGCCGGGCUAGAGUCCGGAAGAGGAGAGUGGAAUUCCUGGUGUAGCGGUGAAAUGCGCAGAUAUCAGGAGGAACACCCGUGGCGAAGGCGGUUCUCUGGGACGGUACUGACGCUGAGACGCGAAAGCGUGGGGAGCGAACAGG